UGUUACUGUGUUGCUUCUACAGAUCUGCUGCUGCUGAAGAUCCUGUUUGUCCCUGUGACAAAGAGUGAGCUAUGCAGUCUGGCAUCCUACUGUUUCCUAUGGUUUAACAGUGACACAGCUGCUAAGAGCAACAUCUGCCUCCGUCAAUGUUCUACCAGCAACACAUGGCCCCCGUGACUGUGUGGCAAUUACUUCAAUUACUCGGGACUUUUCACAAAAAAUGUAUUUUUAUCUACAUAAAAUAAUAACUUGUGGACAUUUAUAAAGCCUUUCAUUCCAUGUAUCUUAAAUAUCUCAAGUCAAGAGAAAUACUUCAAAGUCUGAACU